UACGGUAGGGCGCAAGCGUUGUCCGGAAUUAUUGGGGCGUAAAAGAGCUCGUAGGCGGCUUGUCACGUCGAUUGUGAAAGCCCGAGGCUUAACCUCGGGUCUGCAGUCGAUACGGGCUAGCUAGAGUGUGGUAGGGGAGAUCGAAUUCCUGGUGUAGCGGUGAAAAUGCGCAGAUAUCAGGAGGAACACCGGUGGCGAAGGCGGAUCUCUGGGCCAUUACUGACGCUGAGGAGCGAAAGCGUGGGGGAGCGAACAGG
rnacentral:rRNA from 1 species